rnacentral:rRNA from 1 species
UACGUAGGGGGCAAGGCGUUGUCCGGAUUUAUUGGGCGUAAAGAGCGUGUAGGCGGUUUGGUAGGUCCGUUGUGAAAACUCGAGGCUCAACCUCGAGACGUCGGUUGAAACCGUUUGGCUAGAGUCCGGAAGAGGAGAGUGGAAUUCCCGGUGUAGCGGUGAAAUGCGUAGAGAUCGGGUGGAACACCAGAGGCGAAGGCGGCAAUCCUGGCACAUACUGACGUGAGGCGCGGAGAGCGUGGGGAGCAAACGGG